ensembl:lncRNA
UCACAAAUUAAACAUGCCAGUCAAAAUUUGAUCCUAUAAUUUGCUAUAUAAUAAGAUUCUGACACGUAUUCUGUAUAUCUGCAUAUGAGCAAUAAUUAUUUUCUAAUUGAUUCACUUCUUGAAAUGUGCUAAUGAAGCUUUCUGGGAUUUCAUCCUACAGAUUCCAGCGAAUCUUUUUCUGAGAGUGGAGAGAUGUUGGGCCACACCAACCAAUGAGCCUUACAGCAACAUUCAGUAUAUCUUCAUCAGGGACAGGUCUGGGACAUAAGUCUUAGCCUUUGUCUAUCAAGCAUUUAAUUUUAGUGAUUUAAAAACUUAUUUUGUUUAUUAACUCCCUUCUAUUGUCCUCUGUGUAAAUGCCCUCCUUUACAGCUUCAUUAGUCUUUUGCUUAGGUUUUAAAUGCUUCAUUCAGUCAUAAUUAUCACCAGAGGUGUGAAAGGAUGUUGUUGAGACGUGCCACUGAGACCAUUGCUAAAGGAGCUGAUGACAAAACAAAGCAUGCAGCUUUAGUCAUGUGAUGACCAUCAGCAGCCGUAUGUUUCAGUUUAACAGCUGUGCUUGUCCUCGACUACCCAAAGAGAUUCUCCACCAGGAAAAAAACGAUGAAGCAUGUAGUUUCUGUGAAGAAUAGAGAAAACUGAUCCAACUUAAUUAUCAUUCCCUUGAGUACAAAUAUCACACUGACUAACAUUUCUCUUCACAUCAGCUGUCCAGUGUUGUGGAAUGACCAGACACUAGGUGUGAUGAAGAACGGUCAAGGACCAGAAGCUCUGUUCAGGAUACAAAUGUUCAAGUUUGUUGGCAGCUCCUACACAGAUGUUUUCCUGCACUGCAACGUCCAGAUCUGUCAUAACACAGGAGGAGUGUGCCAGCCUAACUGCUCUUCUGAAGAUGCAUCAGUACGGACACGCAGGGAUGUUGCAUCAUCUCACACUGUCUCGUAUGGACCAAUCAGAAGGCUCAAAACUGACAUGGAGAAUACUAAUCCCAGUAAGUCUUAGAAACUCUUGUGUCUUUAUUAGAGUCACCAUACUUGCCAAAUGUGCUUAAUUUAUUUGAACAUCCCCAGAUUCAAAUUUGCCCCCUGUGGAAACCUUUGUACUGGGUGGUCUGCUGUUCAUCCUGAUUGUCAUCACAGGAGUUUUUGGGAAACUCUGGCUCCAGAGUAAGAACUCGUAUCCGACCCAAGAGGCCCAGCUCACUCUCUCCAACAUCCACCAUAUCUCAGAGGUGGCCAGCUAACCUGGGAUCUCAUAUACACACAAUGUUGUGUGAAAUAUGUUCAGUUUGAAAGUUUUGUCUGCUAACCUAUAGUGCAUUUUCUAUAGUAGUUAUAGUUUUGUCUUUUAUUGUGAAAUAAAUAAAAAUGCUUUUUGAUUUCCUAACA